AGCUGAAGCAAGCAAAAGGGCUUGAAGAGUAGAGGGCCUAGGACCAAGGAGAAAGGAGCUGGAGGGAGAGAAGUAUGCUAUGCCCCUCUGGCUGCUCACUCCCUCAGGGAGCUGAGAGUAACCACACAUACUGACCUGGGUGAUCUUGGAGAAAAAGGCACAAGAGGCCACUGCUACCAAGUGAGAAAGCUGGCUGUGGCCCCCGGGGCAAAAGUUAAAAGCCAGCAGGAAAAGGAAGCGGGAGGUGCUCUCAGGAAAGCCUGCCUCCAGGUGGCCUGGUAUAUUCACUCUGAGGAAAAAAAAAAGGGAGAUGAAAAGUUUUUCAGAGAGAUGGAAAACUGGAUUUGUGGUCUUCAGCUCAGAAAUCAAGAUAUGCAUUGAUGAGCUGGACCAAAUGAAAGGCAGAAAAGAGAAAAAGAGAAGAGAGGCAAGGAAACACACAAAUGAGAUGUGAUGGCUUCAGCCAGUUAUUUCCUCUUUCCAAGCCUCAGUUCUUUGAUCUCUAAAAUGGUAAUAAUAUUGAUCAUACCUUUCUUGAAGAGGUGUUGGGAGGAUUAAGUGAGAUUAAGCAGGUAAAGUGCUUAGCACAUAGUAGGAACUCAGCGGAGGAUAAAUUGUUAUUCUAUUAUUAUUUCUGCGGGUUGAAAAAUGAAAGCCCAGAGGCCAAGGUAGCAGUAGCCUCUGUCUAUAGCCAUCUUCGUUAUUGGAGCGUCCGUCCACCUUAGGUGCUGUGUCUGUUGGAACAACUCCAUUAAAGGCCAGUCUUAAGGGUAGGCUGUGAAUUCUGUUUACAGGGCCCAAAAGUUGCCUCCCUGACAAUUAUUUCUUUUGAAGCAACUCAUCAUGAGGCCUACAAUUCCUUAAUUUAUACUAAACCUACCUCUCAUUGUUAUGAAAAAAUUUAAAAAUACAGAAAAAUAUUUUUAUAAAAUGGAGGUCACACUUAAUCUACUAACUAAUGAUAGCCUCAAUUCACAUUUUGGCAUAGUCCUUCCAAGAUUUAUUUUAUGCUUAUGUAUAUCAUAAAAGCAAUCAAUUAGACUUUUUGUGUAACUCAAAAUAUUGUUAAUAGUUGUAUAAUUGCCAUGAUUGUG
rnacentral:lncRNA from 1 species